GCCGGGCAUGGUGGCGUAUGCCUGUAGUCCCAGUUACUCGGGAGGCUGAGACAGGAGAAUCGCUUGAAUCCAGGAGGCGGAGGUUGCAGUGAGCUCAGAUUGUGCCAUGGCACUCUGGCCUGGGUGACAGAGCGAGAUUCCGUCUUUA
ensembl:misc_RNA Metazoa_SRP Metazoan signal recognition particle RNA